UACGUAGGGUGCGAGCGUUAAUCGGAAUUACUGGGCGUAAAGCGUGCGCAGGCGGUUCUCCAAGACAGAUGUGAAAUCCCCGGGCUCAACCUGGGAAUGGCAUUUGUGACUGGAAGGCUAGAGUGUGUCAGAGGGGGUAGAAUUCCGACGUGUAGCAGUGAAAUGCGUAGAGAUGUGGAGGAAUACCGAUGGCGAAGGCAGCCCCCUGGGAUAACACUGACGCUCAUGCACGAAAGCGUGGGGAGCAAACAGG
rnacentral:rRNA from 1 species